rnacentral:lncRNA from 1 species
AUGACCCUUCUGCUCCUGCCUCCUCCUCUUUGUGCUCCUGUGCUGCUUUAUCUCUUGGGCUCCUGUGGUGUAGGGAAGCCUCCAAUGUCCGCAGAUGGGCCUGUGGACAGCUAUGCCCCAGCCUCUCAUGACAACGUGCCCAUGGCUUUAAGGACCUUCGGCCUCCUCCGGGCUGUAUUGUAUGCCUUAUUGCCUACCUUCUCUCACCCAACACCCAGCGUUCUCAGCUCUGCCUCUCCUCCUUCGGCCACUGCAGGGGUCACUGCAGACCAUGCCUUGGGGAGCCUGAUCGUGUGA